GCAUAUCAAUAAGCGGAGGAAAAGAAACCAACAGGGAUUGCCCUAGUAACGGCGAGUGAAGCGGCAACAGCUCAAAUUUGAAAUCUGGCGCAAGCCCGAGUUGUAAUUUGUAGAGGAUGCUUCUGGGUAGCGGCCGGUCUAAGUUCCUUGGAACAGGACGUCAUAGAGGGUGAGAAUCCCGUAUGUGACUGGCUUGCACCCUCCACGUAGCUCCUUCGACGAGUCGAGUUGUUUGGGAAUGCAGCUCUAAAUGGGAGGUAAAUUUCUUCUAAAGCUAAAUACCGGCCAGAGACCGAUAGCGCACAAGUAGAGUGAUCGAAAGAUGAAAAGCACUUUGGAAAGAGAGUUAAAAAGCACGUGAAAUUGUUGAAAGGGAAGCGCCCGCAACCAGACUUUGCGGCAGUGUUCGGCCGGUCUUCUGACCGGUUUACUCGCUGUCGUGAGGCCAUCAUCGUCUGGGACCGCUGGAUAAGACCUUAGGAAUGUGGCUCCCCUCGGGGAGUGUUAUAGCCUCUGGUGAUGCAGCGCGUCUCGGGCGAGGUCCGCGCUUCGGCAAGGAUGAUGGCGUAAUGGUUGUCGGCGGCCCGUCUUGAAACACGGACCAAGGAGUCUAACAUCUAUGCGAGUGUUCGGGUGUCAAACCCCUACGCGUAAUGAAAGUGAACGGAGGUGGGAACUUUUUGUGCACCAUCGACCGAUCCUGAUGUCCUCGGAUGGAUUUGAGUAAGAGCAUAGCUGUUGGGACCCGAAAGAUGGUGAACUAUGCCUGAAUAGGGUGAAGCCAGAGGAAACUCUGGUGGAGGCUCGCAGCGGUUCUGACGUGCAAAUCGAUCGUCAAAUUUGGGUAUAGGGGCGAAAGACUAAUCGAACCAUCUAGUAGCUGGUUCCUGCCGA
rnacentral:rRNA from 1 species